rnacentral:tRNA from 1 species
AGGGGCUUAGGAUUAACUAGACCAAGGGCCUUCAAAGCCCUAAGCGGGAGUGAAAACCCCCCAGCCCCUG